CAGACAACUGAUAACAAGCAUCCCAGGCACCCUGGAGCCAUUCGAUUUCUAUUUCAGUCAGAAGUAGGCUGCCAGGCAAACCUAAAAACUUACCAGUGUUGUAAGUCUGCGAAGAAUCAAAGAGUAAUCCCAGAGCCGCAGAUACUUAAGUAAGAGGCUUUCUAUAAAUCUAGCUUAACAACUCUAUCAGUCAGUAUAGGAUAAGCUACCCCAUGGUAACCAACAGUCGGGGAACCCCGUGGCUUACAGAAGCAAAGCUCUGGGCCUCACCUACAGGAUUUGUCCAUCACAGCCGGUCUGUGGCUCUGCUCAUCAUUUUCAUUCAGAGUCUCAGGAUGACAAAACAGCCCUUAGCUGGGACAAUGCUAGUUUUGUAGCAGAAGUUAAGAAGAGGUGGCAAAUCACAAUGGCUCUUUAAGUUUGGCUCAGAAAUGGCACCUGACACUUCUUAAUUUUCAUUGGACAAGGCAAGUCACAUGGUCAAGCCAACCAUCACUGGAGCAGAGACGAAUAAAUCUCCCCGGGAGUGGGGCUCCAAACCAUCUAUCACAAUAAUAUUAAUUUUUCAAAUAGUUAACAGUAGAGAAUAUUCAUUAAACCUUGACUACUUACCAUCCUAUUAUUUAAUUCUCACAAGAAUCCUAUAGGGUAAACACUGUUAUUACCAUCUUUCAUUAUAAUGAUCAGUAAAAAAUGAGGAAAGAAGAUAAAUAAAUUUUCCAAGGUCACAUACCUGGGAACUGAUGACCUUGGCAUUUGUGUGAAGGUCUUUGAAAACCACAGAUCUCUCUUCUACACUGGAACUGCUUCAGAUGUGUUGUCCAGAAUAAAACUAGCAGGGCCAUCGCUCAGUGGUAGAGUACUUGCUAGUACGUGUGAGGCCCCUGUUCCAUCCUCAGCACUGAAAACAAAACAAAACCCCUCAAAAUAAUGGGGGCGACCUAUAUGAUCGGGACAUGCCUGUGAGUGGUUUUUCUGAGGGUGAUACUGAAUUUUCCCGGCUCAUCUAUAUUUUCUGGCACCAAAAAAUGUGAUAAGCCAUAUAAAUAAAAGUACGUUAGUAUCGUGGUUAACAGUUUAGUGUGAUAUGUACUGUCCCCAAAAUAGCUGCAAAACACCGUGAGAGGUAGAAGACAAGGCAGAUCCUUUGACAGCAGCUUCCUCCGGACAAAGGAGGUAGUAUUUACCAAUGCCACUGGAUUCACAGGGUGUCACGGAAAGCUGACUUUGAUGUCAGACCCAGUGUGGUUUGUUUCCCACCUCUGAAGCUGCCCUGCUAUA
rnacentral:lncRNA from 1 species